GACGAACGCUGGCGGCGUGCCUAAUACAUGCAAGUCGAACGAGAGCGACCGGUGCUUGCACUGGUCAAUCUAGUGGCGAACGGGUGAGUAACACGUGGGUAACCUGCCCAUCAGAGGGGGAUAACAUCCGGAAACGGAUGCUAAAACCGCAUAGGUCUUCGAACCGCAUGGUUUGAAGAGGAAAAGAGGCGCAAGCUUCUGCUGAUGGAUGGACCCGCGGUGCAUUAGCUAGUUGGUGAGGUAACGGCUCACCAAGGCCGUGAUGCAUAGCCGACCUGAGAGGCUGAUCGGCCACAUUGGGACUGAGACACGGCCCAAACUCCUACGGGAGGCAGCAGUAGGGAAUCUUCCGCAAUGGACGCAAGUCUGACGGAGCAACGCCGCGUGAGUGAAGAAGGUUUUCGGAUCGUAAAACUCUGUUGUUAGAGAAGAACAAGUGCUAGAGUAACUGUUAGCGCCUUGACGGUAUCUAACCAGAAAGCCACGGCUAACUACGUG
rnacentral:rRNA from 1 species